GUCGAACGGUGCUGAUAAAUCAGGCUUGCCUGGAAUAUCAGGAGAGUGGCGAACGGGUGAGUAACACGUAAGUAACCUACCCCUAAGUAGGGGAUAACUCUGAGAAAUUGGAGCUAAUACCGUAUGUGGUGGUGAAGGUAAUGCUUCAUCCCUAAAGCCUUAGGGCACUUGGGGAGGGGCUUGCGUCCGAUUAGCUAGUUGGUAGGGUAAUGGCUUACCAAGGCGAAGAUCGGUAGCUGGUUUGAGAGGACGGUCAGCCACACUGGGACUGAGAUACGGCCCAGACUCCUACGGGAGGCAGCAGCAAGGAAUUUUGUGCAAUGGGCGAAAGCCUGACACAGCGACGCCGCGUGGGGGAUGACGGCUUUCGAGUUGUAAACCCCUUUUCCCAGGGAAGAAUAAUGACGGUACCUGGGGAAUAAGUCUCGGCUAACUACGUGCCAGCAGCCGCGGUAAUACGUAGGAGGCAAGCGUUAUCCGGAUUUACUGGGCGUAAAGAGGGCGCGGGCGGUUCUUCAAGUCGGAUGUAAAAUCUCCCGGCUUAACUGGGAGGGAUCAUUCGAUACUGUUGGGCUAGAGGACAGCAGAGGGAGGUGGAAUUCCCGGUGUAGUGGUGAAAUGCGUAGAUAUCGGGAGGAACACCAGUGGCGAAGGCGGCCUCCUGGGCUGUGCCUGACGCUGAGGCCCAAAGGCGUGGGGAGCGAACAGGAUCAGAUACCCUGGUAGUCCACGCAGUAAACGAUGGACACUAGGUAUAGGGAGUAUCGACCCUCUCUGUGCCGAAGCUAACGCUUUAAGUGUCCCGCCUGGGGAGUACGGCCGCAAGGCUAAAACUCAAAGGAAUUGACGGGGG
rnacentral:rRNA from 1 species